rnacentral:rRNA from 1 species
UACGGAGGGGGCGAGCGUUGUUCGGAAUCACUGGGUGUAAAGGGUGCGUAGGCGGUCCGAUAAGUCUGAUGUGAAAGCCCUGGGCUCAACUCAGGAACUGCAUUGGAUACUGCGGUGACUGGAGUCCGGUAGGGGAGCGUGGAAUUCCUGGUGUAGCGGUGAAAUGCGCAGAUAUCAGGAGGAACACCAGCGGCGAAGGCGGCGCUCUGGGCCGGUGACUGACGCUGAGGAGCGAAAGCGUGGGUAGCAAACAGG